UAUGUAGGGUGCAAGCGUUGUCCGGAUUUAUUGGGUUUAAAGGGUGCGUAGGCGGCUUUUUAAGUCAGGGGUGAAAGACGGUAGCUCAACUAUCGCAGUGCCCUUGAUACUGAAGAGCUUGAAUACACUAGAGGUAGGCGGAAUGUGACAAGUAGCGGUGAAAUGCAUAGAUAUGUCACAGAACACCAAUUGCGAAGGCAGCUUACUAUGGUGUCAUUGACGCUGAGGCACGAAAGCGUGGGGAUCAAACAGG
rnacentral:rRNA from 1 species